GGCAGCAGUAGGGAAUCUUCCGCAAUGGACGAAAGUCUGACGGAGCAACGCCGCGUGAGUGAUGAAGGUUUUCGGAUCGUAAAGCUCUGUUGUUAGGGAAGAACAAGUGCAAGAGUAACUGCUUGCACCUUGACGGUACCUAACCAGAAAGCCACGGCUAACUACGUGCCAGCAGCCGCGGUAAUACGUAGGUGGCAAGCGUUGUCCGGAAUUAUUGGGCGUAAAGGGCUCGCAGGCGGUUUCUUAAGUCUGAUGUGAAAGCCCCCGGCUCAACCGGGGAGGGUCAUUGGAAACUGGGAAACUGAGGCAGAAGAGAGACGAUC
rnacentral:rRNA from 2 species